rnacentral:rRNA from 1 species
GAUGAACGCUAGCGGCAGGCUUAACACAUGCAAGUCGAGGGGCAGCGAGGAAGUUGCUUGCAACUUCUGUCGGCGACCGGCGCACGGGUGCGUAACGCGUAUGUAACCUACCUCAAACAGGGGGCAUAAAAAACNCUGAGAAAUUGGUACUAAUUCCCCAUAACACCUUGGAGGGCAUCCUUUAGGGUUGAAAGUUCCGGCGGUUUGAGAUGGACAUGCGUUGUAUUAGCUAGUUGGUGAGGUAACGGCUCACCAAGGCGACGAUACAUAGGGGGACUGAGAGGUUAACCCCCCACAUUGGUACUGAGACACGGACCAAACUCCUACGGGAGGCAGCAGUGAGGAAUAUUGGUCAAUGGACGC